AGAGUUUGAUCCUGGCUCAGAUUGAACGCUGGCGGCAUGCCUUACACAUGCAAGUCGAACGGCAGCACGGACUUCGGUCUGGUGGCGAGUGGCGAACGGGUGAGUAAUAUAUCGGAACGUACCCUGGAGUGGGGGAUAACGCAGCGAAAGUUGCGCUAAUACCGCAUACGAUCUACGGAUGAAAGUGGGGGCUCGCAAGACCUCAUGCUCGUGGAGCGGCCGAUAUCUGAUUAGCUAGUUGGUAGGGUAAAAGCCUACCAAGGCUUCGAUCAGUAGCUGGUCUGAGAGGACGACCAGCCACACUGGGACUGAGACACGGCCCAGACUCCUACGGGAGGCAGCAGUGGGGAAUUUUGGACAAUGGGGGCAACCCUGAUCCAGCAAUGCCGCGUGAGUGAAGAAGGCCUUCGGG
rnacentral:rRNA from 1 species